AAAAAGACAAACCCUGAUUUCCGUGCCUAACGUUUGACCGUCCGUCUUAUUUAAAAAAAAUAUAAAAAAAAUAAAAAGACAAGUCACGUAUAAAAUAUUAAUCAUGUUUAUUAUCUAACAACAAUGAAAAUACGAAUUAUAAAAAAAUUUCAUAUAAGACGGACAGUCAAAGUUGGACACGGAAACCCAGGGUUUGCCUUUUU
rnacentral:pre_miRNA from 1 species